GCCUGGGUGGCUCAGUUGGUUGAGCAUCUGACUUCAGCUCAGGUCAUGAUCUCGCGGUUUGUGGGUUCGAGCCCCGUGUCGGGCU
rnacentral:tRNA from 1 species